GCAGCAAACUCACCAGGAGGUCACUUUCCCCUAGGCUCUGUUCAAGUAGCCCAGGGGAGCAUAGCGCUCUGAGCCUUGCUGUAGAAUCCCUUUUCACAAUGCUGGAGAAGCUGGGCCUUGAGUCUGAGCCUGCGUAUUCCCACAACUUCUGAUUCCUAUAGAUUGUAAUUGAGGCAAAACAUACAGGAAAUAGUC
rnacentral:snoRNA from 1 species